rnacentral:rRNA from 1 species
ACCGUAGGUGGCGAGCGUUAUCCGGAUUCAUUGGGCGUAAAGCGCGCGUAGGCGGCUCGGAAAGUCGGGCGUGAAAUGCCGGGGCUCAACCCCGGGACUGCGUCCGAUACUUCCGAGCUGGAGGUAGGUAGGGGAGAUCGGAAUUCCUGGUGUAGCGGUGAAAUGCGCAGAUAUCAGGAGGAACACCGGUGGCGAAGGCGGAUCUCUGGGCCUUACCUGACGCUGAGGCGCGAAAGCUAGGGGAGCGAACAGG